UGUUACGUCCAAGGCGUCGGUA
rnacentral:miRNA from 1 species